rnacentral:rRNA from 1 species
CCAGCCGCUAAAACCCGCGUCCACCAGGACGCCCCUUUCGAGUGACCUCGGAUCA